AAUCAACGCUGGCGGCGUGCCUCAGACAUGCAAGUCGAACGAUUAAAGCUCUCUUCGGAGAGUGUAUAGAGUGGCGCACGGGUGAGUAACACGUAAGUAAUCUACCUUCGAGUGGGGAAUACCGUCCGGAAACGGACGCUAAUACCGCAUAAUGCAGCGGCAUCGUAAGAUGACAGUUGUUAAAGAUUUUAUCGCUUGAAGAGGAGCUUGCGGCAGAUUAGCUAGUUGGUAAGGUAAUGGCUUACCAAGGCUACGAUCUGUAACCGGUCUUAGAGGACGGUCGGUCACACUGACACUGAAUAACGGGUCAGACUCCUACGGGAGGCAGCAGUCGGGAAUUUUGGGCAAUGGGCGAAAGACCUGACCCAGCAACGCCGCGUGAAGGAUGAAGUAUUUCGGUAUGUAAACUUCGAAAGAAUAGGAAGAAUAAAUGACGGUACUAUUUAUAAGGUCCGGCUAACUACGUGCCAGCCGCCGCAGUAAC
rnacentral:rRNA from 1 species